AGCUGCUGCAGCAGCCCAGAGGCCGGAAGGAGAGGGUCCUGCCCUGGCCGGACAGCGCCGUCUCGGCUUAGGGGUUGCGGCCUUGAGCGUGGGGUCUUGCGGUGCUCAGCUGUGGGGACACAGAGAACGAUCAGCUCCCAGCAAGAGAGUGGCUGCAGUGUUUGGGAAGCGGCCAGCUUAAGCAGGAGGCGCGUGAAGUGGUGAGCUCAUUCAGAGCAGAAGAAGCUGCGAAGCGGCCAGAGUGAAGCGUGGCUCAUGUGGAACGUGCGCAAGUUCCCGGGGUGUAAUUAGAGGCUGCCUCCAAAGGAGGUGGUGGGAGCCUCCGAAUGGCUGAGAUGCCAGCAACCACGCAGGGGAGAAGUGGCCGCCUCCUGCCCUCAUCCCCAGGCGAGUUCCGGAGUCCCUUCCAGCCCUGGUGCUGGGGCGAUGUCCGAGCAAGCUGCAGAACUUCCUCAGAGCCUGCACCCACAGCGAUGGGCUUCACAAGGGUCUUAGGAAUCACACACGGAAUUUGCGUGUGGCUACGCUUGAAAGGGCCACAGCCGAAUAGGCCACGGCACAGCAAGGCGAAUCCUGGGAGGCCGCCUGGGAGCACCUGCAGGAGAAGGACCCACGUGUGAUCCGAACAGCAGGGCUGGGGACAGUUACUGAUGCGCGCACGCUAGAGGGAAGCAGAGAAAUGGGGAUUUUUUCCUUUUGUCAUUGUUUCUGGCUACACUGAGGAGUCUCAUGUUUGCAAAUGUGUUUUUAUCCUCACCAGUUAGAGUCCUCUGUUUGAUGUUGGCAAAAUGCAAACAACUAUAAGAACAACAACAUACCCAACACCCCAAAGCCCCCCAAAUAAAGUAACACCAAGUGC